AAGCAGAAAGCAAGCAAAUCUCACCGUUUUCAUGGAAAAAAGACACUGCCAUGAAAUCCCAUGUUCUUUUUCUUCUCUUCUUUUUUUCCUCCUCUUCUUAUCUUAUCACUUCAUUUUCCCUCUUCAGUUUACACUCUUCCCAAAGAGUAUUUCAUCAGCUGUGGUUCCAACACUACUAUUUUUUCCGCUGGCCGGAACUUCACCGGGGA
rnacentral:misc_RNA from 1 species